rnacentral:lncRNA from 1 species
UAUAGAGAGAGAGAGAGAGAGAGAGAAAGAGAGAAAGGAGCCUCCAGUCAAAAUGCAAAGGCUGAUGUCAGUGAUAUCAACAACAGGGUAGCAGAAAAAAAUCCAAAAUCAGCUGUCCAGUCUUAAAUCCAGGAAAAUGGAAAUAUGAGGAAAAUAAUAGGAGUGCUUUCCCCACUAUGUUCUUUUCUCAGGGCCAUAAAAGAAAUCCCAAGCCGCCCAACAAGUCAAGGAGCCAAGAAAACUGCCCAGGAAGUAGUGCCAGGAUGAACAUCUCCAGGGUCCAUAGGAGGCAUCCAGAAAUACCACCUACCCAAACUGAGACAAAAACUUCAUUUUCAUCAUCAUCGUCAUCAUCAAAAUCAUGGAUCAUUACCACCACCACAUCACUUACAAGCGGGUUGUAAGAAAGUCAUACUCUUUCUUAUUUGCCCACGUUUCUUGAAAUUAUUACUUUAUUAAACUACAUAAAAUUGUGUCAGUUGAGACCAGAAUAGUUGUCAUUCUGUGCUUCCUAUAUUUUUUGAGGUGAUCUAAAAAUAUACACAUAAUUUAAAACAUUGUUGAUUACUGCAAAACUUUCUUCAGAGUCCCUCCUGAUAUUAUCCAAGGCAGAGAAUUCAGCAAUUAUGGUUUCUUCCCUCAUGAGAUUAAGGAUAUUAUAAAGGUGCUUCCCGUAACCUCCAGCCCACUUAAAUUCUGGGAUUUCAGAGAUCAGUAUGAGUAUAUUUUAGAGACGAAGUAGCGAACAGCUCAGACAUACUUUUUUUUUUUUUGUAAGUGACAUUACACGUCAAUUCACUGGCGGAGUUUAAAAUAUAAAACCCCUCAAUAACUUUGGUGAACUGCCUCCUUUCCAUGAAGUCCCUUACACUUUCGCUUUGGCUGGUUUCAAGUGGCUGUAUUUUUUGGAUUAAUAGAGCAUCUUUCUCUGGAGUAUGCAUAUGGUUCUAAACAAGUGUAGCCACUCUGUUUUCCUUUCUUUAGAUAAGCAAACUGAGACAGAAUUAAACCAAAAGACUAAUUUGCUCCUCUCCAUUCAAAGUUGUCUGGAAAAGAAAGAAACACACUUAGCACGCUGCUCUCUCUACUGGGUUCUUCUAAAGUUACAUUAAAAAUAAUAAUGAAGUCACAGGGAGGGGUUAAGAUGUAUUAAUUUCAUGCUGAGUACGGAUUUUAGAAAAAUAUAAUUAAAAUUCAUAUAUUUCCUUAUGUAAAAUUGUUUACACAUAAUCAGGGUUUUGACUUUCUUUAAUGUAUCUGUAAAAUAAAUGUUCUUUAUGAUAACCUGGUAAGCCAGGCUGCAGACAAAUGUUGCAGAUGGUGAUAAAGAUUUUACUUAAAUUUGACUUUCACAGGAAAAGAUUUCAUAUAAUCAUCAUUCUAUAUUUAUAACAAAAUUCCUGACCACUUAAAUCUGUUAUUUCCCAGCUUUUUAGCCUAUGAAAGCACCAAAACAAAUAUUAACAUGUGAGUAAAAUAAUAAAAACACCUAAUGUUUGUUUAGUUUCUAUACCACUUUCACAUAUACAAUCUCACUUAACAAAGUUACUAUUGUCUCAUCAUUCAUUAAUGGUAAGUCUGGCAUCUUUUCUAGUUUUUCCUGAUAUCUAUGGUUCCUCCCCUUGGCAGUUUCUUACACCUGUCUUACAUAUCCUUAAAACUAUAAGAAACUAAAAGAAAUCCCAAGCCGCCAAAAUUCUCAAACCUGAGAAUUUUCCCAAAUUAUGAAUGUCAUAGACUAAGUAUAAUCACAAAAGUAAAUAACAACUUUAGCCAGGGAUCCAAAUUAAAUGAGUGUGAGAAAGAUUAGAAUAAGUGGCAAUUAUCCUUCAGGAGCUUUCUUCCAAACAGGUACAAGCCACAUGGAGGAGGUGAAAAUGAAAUGGGGAUUGAAGAUGUGAUUCCGUUUUCAUCCGAAAAUAUGCUCAUUCACCAGGGAAUAUGUGACUCUGGACUAUUCUUAGACCAGCACAAAGUGUCACGUAAUCAGUAACAAUUUAAAUUAAUAAAAAAGUAAGAUCAGAAAGGAAGGGGGCUGAAAUGUUAUCUAAGUAAAAGGAAAAAUGUAUCGGAAACUUGAAACUUAGUCACUUAAAUCUCACUUUGGAAAUCAGUCUCUAUUCAAAGUUGAGAAAGAGUUUCAAAUGAUCACCAGUGGAAAAAUUAGUUGUCCAAAAUAUGCAGAUGGCCAGGAUACAAAUUAGCAGGGCAUUGAUUUUGAUGCAAAAGAUUUAUACAUUUGCCAAGUUUUUUGGAGAAGUGAGAGACGUCUAACUUUUAAGAAUACUGAGUAAUAAAACUGAAAUAAGCAUGCAGCAUUAAAUUCCUAAUUAGAACUUUAAAAAGGAUAGUUGAUAUAGUUAAGCUUCAUCUUUAGUUUUAUUCAAAGUUCCUAAGUUGUUUGAAAUCUAAAAAAGGAACCCAGGAUAAGAUGACUCCCUGUUUCCUUCAUUGUGAAAUUUUGAGUAACAUCUUGCAAAAUCUCAGCUUGCCAAGUAACAAAUUUAUAUUAAUAACAAUUUGCUGGGA